rnacentral:rRNA from 1 species
AGUGAACGCUGGCGGUAGGCCUAACACAUGCAAGUCGAACGGCAGCACAGUAAGAGCUUGCUCUUACGGGUGGCGAGUGGCGGACGGGUGAGGAAUACAUCGGAGUCUACUUUUUCGUGGGGGAUAACGUAGGGAAGCUUACGCUAAUACCGCAUACGACCUACGGGUGAAAGCAGGGGAUCUUCGGACCUUGCGCGAUUGAAUGAGCCGAUGUCGGAUUAGCUAGUUGGCGGGGUAAAGGCCCACCAAGGCGACGAUCCGUAGCUGGUCUGAGAGGAUGAUCAGCCACACUGGAACUGAGACACGGUCCAGACUCCUACGGGAGGCAGCAGUGGGGAAUAUUGGACAAUGGGCGCAAGCCUGAUCCAGCCAUACCGCGUGGGUGAAGAAGGCCUUCGGGUUGUAAAGCCCUUUUGUUGGGAAAGAAAAGCAGCAGGUUAAUACCCCGCUGUUCUGACGGUACCCAAAGAAUAAGCACCGGCUAACUUCGUG